rnacentral:misc_RNA from 1 species
GAUGAAGAACGUAGCGAAAUGCGAUACGUAAUGUGAAUUGCAAAUUCAGUGAAUCAUCGAGUCUUUGAACGCACAUUGCGCCCCCUGGUAUUCCGGGGGGCAUGCCUGUCCGAGCGUCAUUGCUGCCCUCAAGCACGGCUUGUGUGUUGGGCCCCGUCCUCCGAUCCCGGGGGACGGGCCCGAAAGGCAGCGGCGGCACCGCGUCCGGUCCUCGAGCGUAUGGGGCUUUGUCACCCGCUCUGUAGGCCCGGCCGGCGCUUGCCGAUCAACCGAAAUUUUUAUCCAGGUUGACCUCGGAUCAGGUAGGGAUACCCGCUGAACUUAAGCAUAUCAAUAAGCGGAGGA